rnacentral:rRNA from 1 species
UGGGGAAUAUUGGACAAUGGGCGCAAGCCUGAUCCAGCCAUGCCGCGUGAGUGAUGAAGGCCCUAGGGUUGUAAAGCUCUUUCACCGGUGAAGAUAAUGACGGUAACCGGAGAAGAAGCCCCGGCUAACUUCGUGCCAGCAGCCGCGGUAAUACGAAGGGGGCUAGCGUUGUUCGGAUUUACUGGGCGUAAAGCGCACGUAGGCGGACUAUUAAGUCAGGGGUGAAAUCCCGGGGCUCAACCCCGGAACUGCCUUUGAUACUGGUAGUCUUGAGUUCGAGAGAGGUGAGGGGAAUUCCGAGUGUAGAGGUGAAAUUCGUAGAUAUUCGGAGGAACACCAGUGGCGAAGGCGGCUCACUGGCUGGCUACUGACGCUGAGGUGCGAAGGCGUGGUGAGCAAACAGG